UGUAUGACUGUGAACAUUAAGGCAAACAAGAAGUAAAUUGUAUGGCUAUGAACAUUAAGGUAAACAAGAAGUGAAUUGUAUGGCUGUGAACAUUAAGGUAAACAAGAAGUGAAGUGUAAGGCUGUGAACAUUAAGGUAAACAAGAAGUGAAUUGUAUGGCUGUGAACAUUAAGGUAAACAAGAAGUGAAGUGUAUGGCUGUGAACACUAAGG
rnacentral:sRNA from 1 species